CAUGAAACUGGACUUGGGAUAGCCAGUGAAGGUCAGGGUCUCAAUGGAACUCUGGGAUCAAGUGAUUGGGUGACCUCUCUAUCGUCCCCCAAUCCCUUUUGACCUACACAACGGGGUGCACAGCUGGAAGCCGCUGGUAGAGAGCAGGUUUUUGAAGAGGAGUAAUGAGCGACAGGAUUACUUAACACCACAAUAAACUUGAGAGAUAGUUAUUUCACCAAUCUGUAGCCUACUUUCUGGUGAUUGUUCUUGAAAAAAAAGGAACCCCAAAUAACUGCAAAGAACUUCAUCUGUCAAAGAUCGACCAAGACUUCAAUAUGCUCUUUGGUGAUGAAGUGACUGGAAUCUGAUGAUGAUGAUGGUGUGUACACCCCUACUGUCGACCAUCAUUUCUCCGCGUGCUGCGCUGCGUAGUGCCGCUGCGGUACAGGACUCUACGCACCGGGGUAGGCAGUGUUAAUGUAAAUGGAGCCAGAGAGGGGAAAAAAAGGAGCCUUGCCUGGAGAAGGGACGGGUUAAAAUAUCUCAGGAAUGAGGCGGUGGUGGUGAAGAGAAACUGGGAGACUGUCAUUGAAAGAGCAGAAGAAAAAAUGAGAAGAUGGAAAUGGCUGCUCCCUCAAAUGUCGUACAGAGGGGGUUCUAUACUUGUCGAGAGAGGAGGGGGGACAGGACCUCAUCCACCUGGCCAGCAGAACGGCCACUUUCAGACUCCAGUUUAUAAAAAGGUUUCUGACAGGGCCGUCCGAUUUGGUAUGGAGGAACAUGACCAGCUGUAUCCUCAGAGAUGAGCCUUUGAUCCAUGGGAGCAGGCUGGACAUCUGUGGCGUGACACCCGGGCUGCUGACAACACUGUAUAGUCCAAAGACUGUGAGCCUGCAGCAGCUGGUGGAGGCUGCAGGGCCGGAGCUGACGGGGCCGGGGCCCUGGGCUCUCUCCUGGACAUUCGUUCGGUCAGGGUGGUUCAGAAGCUGCUGGAGCUCUGGAGGCAGAAGCUCUGUGGGAUGGAGAGGAUCCUUCUCAUGAAGUACUCCCGAGGAGAGACAAUACCAUACCCCACGGACCCUUUCCUGGACAUCAUCCUGAGCCCAGCGUUAGGUGAAGAGACCAGCCCUGUCAGCAGCCCGGGCAAGCUCAGCCUGCACCGGGCUGUGGCAAGCCGAUUUGACAUAAAUUCGCUAGACUUGCAGAUAUCUGCAACACGUAUCCAUUCAGUUUUGCCUAGUCAAAACUAAUAUUUCGGAUAUCCGCAACUACAUUCCUCCUAUCCACAAUUGUCAUUUCAGAUAUCCACAAAGACAUUCCUCCUAGGCGAAAUGACGUCAUUUUCGCCAUUCAUGUCUAUGGGGUUUCUCAUUGCAGAUAUCUACAAUUCAGAUAUCCACUUUGUGAAUUACGGAUAUCUGCAACUGAAUUGUAGAUAUCUGUAAUUCCAGUUUGAGAUAUCUACAAUUUGAUUCUGACUAGUCAUAAUUCCAGUUCAUGAUAUCUUUAAUUCACCUCAAUUCAAGAUAUCUACAUGUCCCUUUUCAGAUAUCUUAAAUUAAGUUUUGACUAGGCGAAAUGACAUGGUAGAUAUCUCUAACUGGAGUUACGACUAGUCAAAAUGACGUUGUAGAUAUCUCUAACUGGAGUUACGACUAGUCAAAAUUACGUUGUAGAUAUCUAUUAUGAAGUUAUAGAUAUCUUGAAAGGAACUUUGAUUAGAGAUAGAUAUCUGUAACUUUCAUUCCGCCUACUCAAAAUCUAAUUACAGAUAUCUUGAACUUGAGUUUUGACUAGGCAAAUUGACGUUUCAGAUAUCUGUAAUGACAAAUUAUAUGACCGCCUCCCGCUUUAGGCGGGAGCGGAGCAGGUCGUUGUCGUUCAAAUCAUCAUUCACUCGUUCAAUUUCAUGGCAUUUUCUGAUGGUUUUUUCAAUUACAGCCAACUGUAAUCCUAAACUGUAAACUGCUCCUUUCUCAGAGAAAUAAGGAAAUGAACCAACUUCUUCUUUGAUUAUGGCGGCAUGGGGAAAUUAUGUAUUUCUAGAUAUCUAAAACGUCACGCCCAAUAAUUCGCACUCAAAUGACGUUUGACAUAUCUUUAACUUUCAUUCUGCCUAGUCAAAACUGAAUUACAGAUAUCUGCAAUUGUCAUUUAAGAUGUGUGACGAGUUGAAUGUCUUUUUCCGUGUUGUCAUUGCAGAUAUCUGUAAUUCAGUUUUGCCUAGUCAAAACUGAAUUACAGAUAUCUCUGUCGUUUCGACUAGUCACAAUUACGUUACAGAUGUCUUGAAUCAAAAUCCCAACUAUUCAAAAUGUAAUUACGACUAGUCAGAAAGAAGUUGUUGAUAUCUACAAUGUUAAUUCCGGAUUGUCAAAUUUAGUUAAUAAAUGACAAUUCGGCUUGCCAUACCGGGCCGACAAGGCUACAUUAUAUGCGAACAUUGUCAAAGCAAUACACACUGAAGAGCAACGGUCCUAAAAUCGAGCCUUGUGGCACUCCCAUGGUGCAGUUUUACAGGGGUGAUAACUUGUUAUUUAUUCGAACACAUUGAUGUUGGCUAGCUAGGUAUGAUUUAAUCCAGUUCAUCCAUGUAACAUCCAAAUAUGGACUCUGCUUGGCAGUGGGAGACUGGCCUCUUUUACUUUCACACAAACCCCUGUGCCUUAACGGCAAGAACCACAGACAGCAUGUCCACCCUUUUAAAAAAUACACAAACAGACAAAACAAUAUCCCCACUAAGCCGUACAUGCUCUGCAGGCAUAUGUAGCAAUGUAGAAGCAUUUCGAAACGGUGUUGAACAUAGUGCUCUUGAACACAGCAUGGAAAUGGCCCAGUCCCCUAAUCAAGCCCGUUAUAUAAAGCAGGUGUGAUGUGCCUCAGUAUGGCUUUGUCUCUGCUGUGGCUGGUGACCAUCUUUAGGAUAUCCGCCUGUGACCGAGUGACUUUCAUGCUUACCCCUAAACCCGUGGUGGUUCACUUGCUGCUGUUUUGCCCUGUUUUGCUUUGACUUAUUGUUUUGUUUUGAGUAUUUAUCGAACCAACUGGGGGUUAAAUGUUUGUUUUUGAUUGAUGUUUUAAUAGUUAUUGUUUAUUUAGGCUGGAGCUGGGUGCCAAACUGUAAGGAGGCUAGGCACCCCUGGUGAGGUCCCGUCACUUGCAUGUGAAUUAAAGCACAGGGAUUUAACACGUUUUUCACCAGCUUUAGUGUGUAGUGACUGUUGAUGUGAGGCACUUGUGGUGAGUGAGUGGUAGCACCCCUAGGCACUCCUCGGCGUAGUUUGCCUCUCAGCAGUUGGCCUCAGCUUUAGUCUGGUUGGUUUUGUUUAAGUUUGGGACUGCUAUUUUAGAUAUUGUGAC
ensembl:lncRNA